AUACGUAGGGGGCGAGCGUUGUCCGGAAUGAUUGGGCGUAAAGGGCGCGUAGGCGGCCCGGUAAGUCUGGAGUGAAAGUCCUGUUUUUAAGAUGGGAAUUGCUUUGGAUACUGUCGGGCUUGAGUGCAGGAGAGGGAAGUGGAAUUCCCAGUGUAGCGGUGAAAUGCGUAGAGAUUGGGAGGAACACCAGUGGCGAAGGCGACUUACUGGACUGUAACUGACGCUGAGGCGCGAAAGUGUGGGGAGCAAACAGGAUUAGAUACCCUGGUAGUCCACACUGUAAACGAUGAAUGCCAGGUGUAGGGGGUAUCGACCCCUUCUGUGCCGCAGUCAACACAAUAAGCAUUCCGCCUGGGGAGUACGGCCGCAAGGUUGAAACUCAAAUGAAUUGACGGGG
rnacentral:rRNA from 1 species